UGUUCCCAUACCGAACACAGAAGUUAAGCUCUUUAGCGGCAAUGGUACUUGGCGGGCGACCGCCUGGGAGAGUAGCACGUAGCCACGU
rnacentral:rRNA from 1 species